rnacentral:misc_RNA from 1 species
GAUGGAGGGGGAGAGGAAGGCAAAGGUGGGGUGGGUGGAGGAGAACAAGGAGGUAAUGGUGGGGAUCCCAUAGGUAGAGGCGGCAAAUCAGAUAUAUUAUCUAAAGCUGAUUCCAGGGUUCGAUCUGAGCCAGACUGGUUCACAUCAUCUGCAAACAAAGGUCUUUCAUCUUUUGGGUGGCCAGAAACAUCUUCCAUUUCA